UACUAAGCCUUCGAAGUCGUCCAAGC
rnacentral:piRNA from 1 species